rfam:Oryza glaberrima chromosome 1 Oglab01_0249_2, whole genome shotgun sequence.
AAAAAGGCAAACCGUGGGUUCCCGUGCCAACGUUUGACUGUCCGUCUUAUAUGAAAUUUUUUUUAUAAUUAGUAUUUUCGUUGUUGUUAGAUGAUAAAACAUGAUUAAUAUUUUAUGCGUAACUUAUUAUUUUUAUAAUUUUUUUAAAUAAGAUGAACGGUCAAACGUUAGACACGGAAAUCAGGGUUUGUCUUUUU